UGGCGGACGGGUGAGUAACGCGUGGGUAACCCGCCUCAUACAGGGGGAUAACAGUUAGAAAUGACUGCUAAUACCGCAUAAGACCACAGCACCGCAUGGUGCAGGGGUAAAAACUCCGGUGGUAUGAGAUGGACCCGCGUCUGAUUAGGUAGUUGGUGGGGUAACGGCCUACCAAGCCGACGAUCAGUAGCCGACCUGAGAGGGUGACCGGCCACAUUGGGACUGAGACACGGCCCAA
rnacentral:rRNA from 1 species